rnacentral:tRNA from 1 species
CCUGUAGCUCAGUGGUAGAGCAUCCGACCAGUGUGCGAAAGGUCAUAGGUUCGACUCCUAACUUAAUGA